AGAACUGGGGGAUCAGUCCAUCGCAUUUCUUUAUAUGUGGAUGAUAUCAUAUUGUUCCUGACAUACUUUAAAAAUUGUUUUCCCAAUUUGAUGAGAUUAUUAAUUAAGCUUUAAUUUCCAAAUCUUAGAUGGUACUUUAUGACUGCCCAAUCAUAUGCUUUUAUUUGAUCAGUUAUGUCAGAUCCCUAUUUCAGUCAGGACCACUUUCGUCAAAAUCUUAUAUUCCAAGCAGAAUUACAUUUGGCGGUAUGGCUCUGUUCUGGGACCUCCUUGUCCUUCCGCGUGCCUACGUGGAAAACCUUAAGGCAGGGAGAGCACACCUCCCUGCCCUUCCAUGUGCAUACAUGGAAAAGUUUAAGACAAGGAGAGCGGCAGCAGAGACCCCCAAAGAACCACACCAGGCAACCUCCCUUCCAUGAGCUACAUGGAAGUGCCAGUAAGAGGAGCCAGCAGGACUAUAAACCAAUACGUCUAAGCAGACACUAGUUGAAGUACAAGGCUAAGUAUACUAGAGAUAUCCCCAGAAAUUUGCUAUACAUUAAUGAAUUUAAGCCGGAAAUUACAAGGCACUCAUUGCUUUUGAGCAUCAAGAUUUGCUUGGCCUCAGGCAGGAGGUAUCGUUCGUAAGCAGAUAAUGAGCAUUUACCCAUAGCCUUAGCGUCGAGACAGGAGCUACGGAUGCUGCAUUUAUGCGAAUUGAAUGAGUUAUUUUAAUGUAGAUUAGCUAAGCCAGAUCGCAUAUACUGAGCAGUAGAUAGCCUGUAUAUUGCAUGGUUGUGUUUACUCUAACACGGUUUGAGAAAAUGGGGGGCAAGUCAGGCUGGAUGGCGCUGCCUCCGGGCACAGCUGGCGAAAUUCUGCGAUUCAAACGGGACAAAAAUCAGCAAUUGUUAUCCAAGCCUGGAAUAUGAGCUGCUCUAAUAAUGAAUUUACCCAACAUAGAUAACCAAGUGAGGCGUCUUACAAAUCUAUUAAUGAAUGGAACUGAAGAACGCCCUUGUAAAUGAUGUUGGCAGUUGCCUCAUUGUCGAAAAAACAUGACAUGUUCCCAUGACCAGUCUCUUCCCCACAGAAACAUGAAACAAUUGUACAUUCAUUAAAAAAGGUAGAAGAAGCAUUAGCUGGCAAGGAUGACAGGAUUUAAGCCAUAUGUCUGUGAACCACUGAUUAUUAAAAUACCCCCCCAAAACCUACGGAAGGGUGGUUAUCAUACAGGUCAAUCAUGCCACUACUACUGUAUGUUUGAAUGAAUUAUAUCUCCAUUAUUUCUGUACCCAACACCGAAAAACUUGAGGAUCCAUUGCUCUUCCCUAAAUGCCCCUCAUGUCUGCUCUCUGUCUUCUAAGCUCAGCAAAGCUGUUCAUUAGUGAUCUAGUAGAUCAUAGCAGUCACACUAUUAGACCUUGCUGUUGACAUAAAGCUUCCAGGGUGAACUGGCACACAGUGUUCGAUUCAUUUAUAUGUACUCAAUAUGCUGCGUCUUUUAUAAUUAAUGGCAAAUGAUGAUUUUAGCUGCUCAUUGUAAAAGAAGGAGAUGCCAUACCAUUAUCACACAGAAGAGAUCAGGACUGGGGCUCGGAUCUGCAGCCCUUCUCCAAGCUCACCAUAUCAUGGAGUUCUCUAUAAAUCGGAGAGGUCCAGAAGCCUGGAUAUAGGGGAACUUCCCUGGGGAAUAACACACAUGCCAACUUAAGAUGUCUAAGCAAGGAGAGCAGUUCUCUUUUGAAAUUACUACUGCCUGCUGCUUUCAUUACCUCUUUGAUGCAAUUUUUCAUCAGUACACUAUCUAGAGUGAAGCCUAGACUCUAGCCUUACAGGCCUGAUGUUUCUCCUUGGCUAGCAGAAGACCUAAUGUUUAAAGGUAUAUUUAAGAGCAAAAAUGCAUGGUCUGAUUUUGAAUUGAUAGUCAACUAACAGAAAAUCGUCUACGAGAUGGAGCACGAAAGCAGUUGCAGUUAUUUAAAAGAAUCCAGCAGAGAGCCUCUGACAGUGUCAAAUAUGUGGGGCUGCUGUAACAACCAAAGGUGAGCCUAACUGAGAAGUACAUUUCUCUUCAUUUAAACCAAACAGAUGCCAAUGUGAAGGUGUAAUGCAUGACUUAAAUGCAUCUGUGACAUCUGCCUUGGCUAGCCAUGCGCCUCUACAUGCUUCCUUAAUCAACUGAUGGCAUUGUAGAUUAUAGCAUAAAAUAAGGAAAAAGUGCCAGAGGAUGUAGCCCCUUCAGACCCGCCUUAUGUUCCAAGUGUGAAAAAUAUAAUAAUGACUUUUUUCCCCCAUCCUUUAUGCAACCAGAAAUGAGAAUCAAUAAAAAUAAAAAUUAUUAUUAUUAUUUUUUUUUUAAUCAAAACCCUUUAAUUGUUAUUUUUCUUGUCCAUUUCAAUGGACAUCGGGUCCAACAAUUCUUAAAAUACCAACAUCAUAUGACAACAUCAUACCUAUUUUUGUCUGUUAAAUGUUGCAAAAAGUAAAAAAGAAGCCCCUGUCAAGUGACGUCCAUUGUAAUGGACACAGGGUCUGAAGGGGUUAAACUAUUUAUGCCUUAGUUUUGCCUUUGCAAGAGCAGAUCAAUUAAUGUUUUUUUUUUUCCCCCUGAAUAUCCCUGGUAGCUAUACCUUAAUGCUUGUUGAGAAGGCGAUUUAUGAAUGGACCAAUAUGAACCUUUUUGUUAUCCUUCUUCAGUAAAGCCUCGACUAUCUCAGCUCUUUCAAAGCAGAUUGUAGGUUUUGGCAACCAAGUCAGCCCAGCUAAGAACCAUGAACCAGCCCUAUAACAGAAUGCUUUCUUAGCGCCUUCCCCAGCUCAGGGACGUUUACUGGGGUUGAAGGUUUAUCUCUCAUGCCCCCUUUUUUGAGAGGCAGCACGUUCUUCCCUAUGGUGAUUGGGACUGCACUUCCCAGCAUUCUCGGCGGGAAUGUGACGCCGUCAAACAAGCUGCUGUGACGUCAUCGUCAAGCGCUGCACCUGUGGGACCACGCGCUCUACCUGCAGACAGCGAAGAGGGAAACAAUUGCGGAGGAAGACUGGCCGGCCUGACGUGCCAAACCGAACCCUGGACCCUUGAACCCAUGACGGCAAGCGACAACCGGAUGUUGGACAGAGCUGACAAGCAAGACAGGUGGAGCCGGCCGCUGCGCCUCGGACCCGCGCUCCCCUGAAAGGCAGCGCAGCGCAGCGCCGGAGCCGGAGCCGGAGCCGGAGCCGGGACCGCAGCGGAGCCGCAGGAGCAAUUCCUCCCCCCUUCUGCGGACCCUCCAGAACCAGAGCAGCCGGACACAACUGUUGUUCAAAGCGACACUCUCCCCAACAGCCGAGAUCUCUGCUGAGACUUCACAAUGCAAUCGACCCGCCAUCAUACUCGCCGCAGA